AAAUCUUCUUAUGUGUGGGUAAAUAAGUCCAUCCAAUACAUGAAAGAGCGUCAUUGUCCACUGCGUCUAAUCCGCUGCACACUCGGAAAAAGAAAACGAAAAAGAAAAGCCGGAAGAGCCUCUGGAUUGGCUCCGCUCCGGCAAACGCAGUCGAGCAAAAAGCAUCGCGGAUACGUCACUAUACAGAUAUAGAUAGCGUUGAGUUGAGUCUCGAUGAGCGGCAAUCGUUCUCGUAAUUGGACCCGCUCUCCAGCUAUAUACAUUCGCUCGAUAUAGGCUGCGAUUACGAAGCUGCAUCAGAAGAGCUAAAGAGUGAUGGGAUUCGAUUCGAUUGCGCACCCAUAUAUAUAUAACAAACGGAAACUAGCCUCGCGUAUAAAAGCGCGUAUUUUCACACGAAAUUCCAGAGGAUCUAUAAAAAGGCCAGAGGGCAGCGAAUAGAAGAUUCCAGCGGCCGUAUAAUGCGGAACGCUCUGAGAGAGAUAGAGAGAGAGAGAGAGAGCUACUCGCAGCAGAGAUAAAGUGUACCGAGCAAAGCAAAGGGCAAGAGUUUAUAGGGUAAAAAUAGGAAAGCGAACGAAGAGAGGGUAUACCGCACCCGAGUGCCCAGAGCAAAAAGCCAAGACUGUUUGGCAUCAGGGGCCAGAGCUGGAAUCUGAUUGCGAAGCGCGGUGUGUGUGUUUUGGUCGGCUGUACAAUUUAUUCACCGCUAUACACUUAUUGCGGUUUUUCUUACGAAUCGGAUUCUGUAGUCUUAUCCUUAUCGCAAUGGGCGACUGCGACGAUUAGUCCCAUAAUAACAAGUCUAUACACCCACGCGCGAUACCGCCGAUAGUAGUAGUAUAUAGUUCAACGCAAACAAAGGGCCGAUCCAAAUAGAAAGCCCGCGAGACACGGACGAAGAAGAACCGGCGUACGAAGCGCGCGAAGCAAAGGGUAAAAGAGCGAAGAGAGAGAGGGGGGGGCCAUCGCGGCGUAUACGCGGCCGUGGGCAUUUAUUAAUAGAGAUUAAGCUCUCUCGCGGAGCGUCGUGUCGUGUCGUGUGCAGUAGCAUCAUCUCUCCCGCUUCGAAGCUUCGGCGCUUUCAGUAGUCCGCGUUUGCGACGUCGGGAGCGUAUAUUAUACUGCGUCGCAGCUGCCGCGUGAAAAAAAGCUCGAGAUUUAUCGAUCGUAUAUAGUAUCGUUGCACGCGUGUGUAACAACAGCAAAGUGUCCAUCGUCGAUCGAGGCAGUUUGAAAAAUGACAGUGCGGAGCUUUAAAGCUCGCUCGACCUGCGGUGUUUGAUGGGAAAUACGCGCCAGUGAUUGUAGCCUACUGUUUUUUUUUUUUUUUUUUUUUUCCUGCAAACAUGUGACACGCCCGCGUUUAUUAUACAUAGGUAUAAAAUAGUGCAUCAGCGCGUUUGUUUGUUUUCUUCUGCUCUAUCUUCUUUUUCGUCGUUGGAGCUGAGUGCAGUGAAUAAUCGAGCUCCUUAUUGGAAACUUGAAAGACGAAAACUUUAUAACAAUCACACGCGAGUGGAGGCAAAAAGACUCUUAAGAGACACUGAUUCGGGCGAGCGAUCGGCGGAGCGCACAGGCUUGCCGAGGCGACUCGCCGCCGCAUACACUCGUCAUGAUGCUAAUGCUGCUACUGUGCGUUAUCAUGAAGAUCGCCGAGGAGUUGACGGUCGACAAGGCGAGCGAGCCCAUAGCGCCCGGUGUCUGCAGGCUGCCACAGUGCUGCGCCAAGGCGAGACUCCUCAGACGAAGACGACGGCCGAAGAAGCGGGCUUGCAAGGCCACAUCAAUGAUGGAAGACCCGCAAACUCCAGGUUCGGAUUGCAACUCCAAUCCAGCGAAUGAUCCUCAGGACUUCGUUGGAUCGGAAUUUAUUCAAGACAACAUGGACUACCAAUGGUUCAUUGACUACAGAGCUUAUUCUCAAGAAGCCUAUUGCACAAGUUACAGAGAUGGAGGGUUACACGUGCAUCCCAGUGUGCUGUCCUCUCUUUCGGCCUCCUACACUAAAGAUGACCUGGGUUACUACGACGACCUGGCUCGCAAUCUCGAUGCCAAUCUGGCAGAAGUUGACAUGGAGAGCUUUAGAACUGCGGACAUACACACACUGCUCACGGCUCUGCCAGUCAUGUGCACUGAUCCAGUCCAACACUCAGAAUUUAACUACCAACGUGAAAGGUAUGCCAGUAUAUCUGGCUCGGUGAUGGAGAAGCUCGACAUCAGUUCCUCCAUUAGUCCUCGAGCUAGCAGUCAGGGCGAGGACUCGGCCUGUUCGACGACCGACACCAUAUCGAUCUGCAAGUCGUCGCUGCUGUUCUCGCCAGUGAAGGAGAUGCCGGUCCUACCUCCCGGUGGAAGCUAUAGUGUCGACUCUCUCGACUGUGAGGACAUGCUCAUCACGUGCCAGACUAACAACAAGAACAACUACACCAUCGCCUUCGAGGGCAGCAUCGCUAUGUACUCGGAUGGCUCUCAGGAUUUCGAUAAUCAAGGCAUUGGUCCUCUAUUUGCAGAAAAACAAAAAGUCUACGAGGUCCCAACCGACUCCUACUACGACAAGACUCUGAAUCUUAAAAACAUGCUGGACCUCUCGAUGGCCUGCUCGGAUUCGAAGAUCUACACGACCUGGAGCAACCUCAAGCACUCGUCCAUCAGCAAGACCAUAACCCGUCACCCGUCCGGCAACAACAACACCACGCCCAACUUCCUCCAGUCGACGGGCAGCGGCACGAGCAAUGCUACCAGCUUACCCGUCGUCAGCAACAAGAGCCGCAGCCAGAGCUUGCCCGAUCUCAGCAGGGCUCGGGAAAUCGAACGCGUAGAGAUGCCUCUUAAUUUUUCCGUCGACUCUGGUGAGACGAGCAGUCGCAGCGGUCGCCUCCAGAGCUCGGGAUCUUUGAUGAGCCGCUCGAUGAACGAGGAGAGCUCGGACAGCGUGGGCAACACCUUCUCCUCGAACAAAAAGCUUCAAAACAUGAGCCUUGUCCGUCUGUUUAUGAAGCAAAAGAGCAUGAGUACCGAGGGCAUGAGUCUGACCCUCGACCAGACUGAUUCAGGUAGCGAGACUGGCUGGCCGACCAGCAGCAACAGCGAGAGCGGUACACACGUUACGCAGAUACACAAGCAGCAUAACCAGCUGCAACAUACCCAGAACAAUUUAAGCGUUCCCGAUAACGACUUGGCGAUCAAAUGGGUGAAGGCGGAUAAUUAUGACAUUCCGAAACGUUCGAACUGCUCGACUUCCAUGGAGGAUCUGUUGAACACAUCGAGAUCUGCAUCGUCCAUCGGUAGGGAUGUUAGUAUGAAAACGAAGAAAAGGGAAGUGUGCACGAAGACGACAACGGGAAUUCAGGUAAUGACAGAAGUAGAGGAUAACGGCGUACAAACAUCUCUGAUAUACCCACCAUUGAACAACAGCAAUAAGGAAUCGGGCAAUUAUCCUUUCCGCGAAACGGUCGUUAAUGAGAAACCCGUAUACGUGGUUUAUCCGAACUACACUCUACCAGAUCUGUCUUUCCUCAAUUCAACGGAGACGCGUUUCGACAAUGUAGCUUUGAAGCCUCAAGUGUACGGCAAGCGGCCAGGCAAGUCUGGACGACCGUUUUCCUGCAACGAUAUCGAUGCGCUUAAGCAGCGUGGCUUUUCGCACGUCAAAGACUGGGAAUCUCUCACCUUCUUACUACCUAACGAGUACCGUAAGAUCCUGCACGAUGUACCCGAGGUCUCGAAGCACGUCAAGAUGGUUGGCGAGGAGGCGCGCAAGCCGUUGUUUUGCCUAUCCCCGCCAAUGAGGCACAGAAAGAGGACUCUGAGCGAUAUGAUUCCCAACACGGUUGCGUCGUCGAGCAGCAGUACAGCCACUCAGCCAUCAUCAGGAUACAGGGGCUCGUCAACCAUUCUCACUGAUUCAUCGUCGAAUCAACAGAAUUCUAGCAAUACUGGCCUUGGCAAUAAUAAUCCACUCUACCUGUACCGCUACGACAGCGUCUCUUCGGAGGCCUCGCUACACGGCCAGGAGAAACUCCUAACCAACAGUCGCCAGCCCACUCAGUACCACUAUCGCCAGGGUGCGCCGAGUCUACCUAAGCGCUCAAUUUCCCUACCACAAGCGAGUGACUGCGGCUCAGCACCUCCUCGUCCUCCGUUACCACGCAGCAUCCUCAGGAAGAAUCGAGCUGCCGCGGCUGCGGCCGGCAAGCGCUGUAGCAUGUUCGAAAUGGGACAGGUGAAUGAAAUCGAGACAAGGCACGGAAUGAGCCAGGAGAAUAAGCGAAUGUCGUUGCAAGAACCCUAUUACAUGAACAACGACUUGCAACUGCUCAGACACGCGGGCAUUGUCGACUCGGAGAAGGAUAUUGACGAGGCUGAGGAAAGACAGCGAUUCGAUAGAUUGCGAGGAAUUGACAAUGACGAUCUAGAAAGUAGUGGCGAGGACGUGAAGCAGUUGGAGGAAUUUUUGAAGCGCAGCGGUUUUUCAUCUCACAGCAGUGACGGUGAUACCGGCAUGGAACAUGAUGAUAUCAAGCUUCGAUCCUGCGUCAGGAGGUUCCUCGCUCUUAAGAUGAAUCAGGACAUGGCUAAGAUGAUCGACAUGGCCGAUUCGCAAAAGAAGACUGUUAGUUUUGCUGUUAAUGGAAAGCCGAGAUAUCUUGACGAAAAGACAAACAUAAUGGACGAGAAGGAGCGGUUGAACGUGAGCGAAUCAGCUGAUACGAAUCUUGAACUGAGGCCUAUCGAUUUAGAAGACAAAAAAAAAAUGAUUUGGUCGGUAAACAAAGCAGUGGAUGGUUUGCUCAAAUUCUGGCAUAGUGAGCCCGUUCGUAGCCGGCAAGGCUACAACGACAAAAACGAGUGCUCCCAACUCUGUCUCGGCCAACUGUGUCCGGCUCUUUAUGCCGUCAUGUCCGACGGCCUGAAACCUCAACUGAACUCAACUUUCGGACCUAUCGCUAAUAGCGUCUGGCAAGUCGUCGAAGCUUCGUCACAACAAGGCCCCCUCACAAAAACCCUGAACGACUUGGUGCAGAAAAUCAACGGAGAGGACUUUAUGACCGAAGGCAUGCUCAAGUUUCAUGCUUUCGUAUUCGGUUUACUCAAUUUGCGAGCUCUUGACGCCUGGUUCGCCUACCUGUGUACGCGCGAAUCGAUCCUUCGCAAACACUACAACAACAACAGCCUCUUCCUGGGUGCCCUUGGAUGUGCCAACAGUCGCGAGGUCAUUGACGCUUUUCUCAACAUUCUCCAGCCUCUGGCUUUCUGCCCAUUCCAGCUGGACCUGCUUUAUCAGUACCGACAACUGCACAACAGCUUCGGUCAGAGCAACGCUAUCAACCUCGAGCCUGUUACUGUUACACCUACUAAGAAGUCAUCAGAAAGAGGACAGAGACCUAGAUCUUGCGUGCUUUACGACAACUCGCGACAGCAGUACGAUGGCGAAAAGAGAGCGCUCGAAGAAAUCAAGAAGAGGUGGAGUCACACACCGCUGAGCGCGAAAUUCCAUGUUUUUGAUAGAUUGGACGACUCCGAGGAUUAUACCGACAGCCUGGAACAUUCACCGUUAAAUAGAGCUAGUCCCAAGAGAACCGUGUCGAAACAACAGUCAAAGUUACCUGAGUCCAGAGAUUCAAAGUCGCGAAAAGACGAGGAUCAGAGCGCAGAAGCAGCACCCGCUGGCGAGAAUAAGUUCCGUAAGCUGCAGGAAAAAUGGGAAUAUCUUGGUCGCGAUGACACUAGCCCGAAAGAACCUCAGCCACCUACCACUCCAUCUCCCUCCUCUCCUACUCGAACUCCUACAUCCAAUCUUUCCAAGUCCCGAAUCCCUCGUCUCCUCACAUCUCCUGUCAAAACCCCGUCCAACCUCCCCAUACCCGUCAAGUCCGCAAAGUCUCCAUCGGGCAUUCCAUCCCUCAAGAAACCUGCUGGCAUCGCAACGACCACUAAACCCAGAACGACCACCGGCAACAACAUCAGCUGCAAGGAUUCCCCGCGUCGAACUAGCAGAUUGGACCAGGAGAGCACUGGAACGCCCAGGGCCCAUUUGACACGGCCUAGCUCGCUGCCCUACAAGACGGGUUAUGGAGCCAGCGCGAAGGAGAAGAGCACCGUGUCUCCGCACAGAAGGGCCGCGUCAACAUCCCUGCCUAGGCCACAUUCCAUCGCGGCACCACCCAGGAACCUGCCGCCCAAGCAGGCACCAAAGUAGGGGACUUUCUUUGAUUGAUCUUUAGCAAUUUGGAAACAAUCUACACGCGUUUGCUCGCAUAUUUAGUAAUGCUAAGCUUGUUAAAUGAUCUGCUUUUUUCAACAUUCAAACGGCUCAUGAGAUUCACAUUCGUAAGGACAUUGACGAGUAAGCCGCAGUCAGUGGACGGGCACCUGUCCUUCAACGAGGGCGAUAAGCUAAAAGUUAUUCUCGAGGUAGACGGCAAGUGGCUGUUGUGCGCGAGAGGCGAGCGUAAAGGACUGGUGCCUCGUAGCUGCGUUAGACUCAUCCCAACCUAGCAGCAAGCCGGCAGCAGCAGCCGACUCGCGUCAUCAAGAAAGCCCAGCAGCGACGCGGCUGCGUGUAUAUAUUGAAUAAUGAUGAUGAGGUGAAAAGGUUAAAGAGGAAGAUAUUAUAUAGUAUUUUAAGGACGGGACGCGCACGAAAGCGAUAGAGGUCCAAACGAAAAUAUAACGCUAAAGAUUAUAAUUACGCGAGAGAGAAAGAGAACGAGCGAGCGAGAAAGAUUGAUUGAAAUGUUGAUUAUAUAUGAUUGAUGCUUCGUUUAUGUAUUGAACAAAAGAGUUAGAGACGGGAGUCUCAAGUCAGCAGUUUAAUAAUUAUACAAUUUUGAUGUUAUUAUUAUCCCUGAUAAGAGUAUAUUAUAAGAUAUUAAUGCGCUGAUGAAGGCGAGUUGAUGAUAUCGUUGGCGGGAGAAAGAGUUUAAAGGAGUAUAGUCGCUAGUCAACUUAUAGGCUUUCGAACCAGAAUGUAUUUAAUAAUACGAGCAUACAGCUAUUUAUAACCAUGAUGUACAUAUAUACAGCAAAACAAAACGAUAGAGAUUAAUGAUUAUCGAUUAAUAAGACGAAUGACAUUGUCGAGUAACAGCAUAUAAUAUAUUAUAUUAUAUUAUGUAUAAAUGUAACUGUGAUGAUAGCUUGUAGACGAGUAAGUUUCCGGCGGAUAUCUUGAGAGAAGGAUAGGUGAGUCCCCGAGAUCCCUCUUUUAAAAAAAAUAACUCCCCCGAACCUUCGUUGAGUACGGAGUAUGUAUUUCUCGACAAUUCUUUGAUGGAGUAUCUUAUCACUGACGGAUAAUUUACUCUCUAAUUUUAUGUAUAUUUUAUUUUUACGCUCCUUAUCCGGCGCACAAGUGAAUCAACGCUGUACCCUAUUCUUUAUUUUAUAUUUUUUUUCUUAUUUUUUUUAUUUCAUUGAUAAAAAGUAAUGAUAACAAUACAAAAAUAAAACAAUACUGAAAACAGCUGUGGCGCCAAAGGAUACCAACUCGAUCAGUAGGCGCCUCGUGUUUUUUACUCGCUUUGUGUAUUCCUCGGCAUAUGGCAGAAGUAAGGAGUAAUAAGCUAAUAAAAUUUAUCUCAAACA